CUUCAAACAAACAAAUUCAUCUCCUCCUGCUGCUGUAUGACUUUAGAAGAAUCUCCAUGACUACUAAUUUUCCAGGGAUGGACUACUUUAUGACAAGGGCGUUGAUCUGAAUUCAGGAAAUGCUCGAGAUUCAUCACUGAAUGUCAUAAUUGGAUUGACUAUUGGUUACCCAAAGUAGCUGUGCCCUUGCCUGGGGUCCAGCAGGCUGGGUUAAUGCAUUGGCUGUAUCACUGGCUCCUUGAUCUUAGGCUUCACUGCAUUUGUGACACACCUGUUUUAUAGGGUCUUACAGCCUUCUUUUGUAGUACAAGGAAAUAGGCAAAGUUAAAUUUAAUCAUUUAAAGAUUGUAAUCUGGUCUAAACUAAUUGUGUAGGUGUUGUUGUUGUACCAGGGAUUAGCUCAUCAUAGAGACCCUACCCUAGCCUUCUCUCUGGAGAAGCUGAUCUCUCAUCAUGGACUCUAGAGGGAGCCUGGAUGACUGCUUCAGAGCAGAUUUGCAAUUUCUAGAUAGCUAAAACGAGGUGAUACACACCCUGGCAGGGCUAUUUUCUACCUAAGAGUUCUCAUUACAUUUUUCUAUCUCAGCAAAAUGCAACAUUGACUCUUGGAAGCUGUGUAGUUCCAGUUGUGUUUUACUUAUGCUCUGGUGAGAAGGUGCAAGGAAACUGCAGGUAUCAGAAGUGAAACUCAAAGAUAAUGGGGACCUUUAUACACUGAUGAACAAUUCCUGUGGCUGUCACUUUGCUGAUGAAUAGAAAAAAAUGACAGAAGCACUGAUCUGUUUGGACCCUGUCCUUGUCUACUUGCUUGUCAGGACUCUCAGACGUUGUCUCAGUAACUUUUGAACCUGUUGCUCAAUUUUAAAUGAAUUUAACAGCUGGACAAAAGUUCUGUAAAUACAAAAAUACUGCAAGUUUUGUGAAAAAAUGUUGCUGUGUGAAGAGGAAAAAUUCCAGAAAAGAACCAUCCGCAUGCGAUACGCUGCAGGGUGAAACCCUCAUUGAAGAAGCAGUAAGGAUGGAGCUGCAGGAGACAAAACUCUGUAAGCUCUGCUGUUCAUGGAACUGCUUUUCUUUGCAAUUUUCUUCUGUUUAAAGAAGGAACUGCUUCUCUACCUUUGUCCC
rnacentral:lncRNA from 1 species